rnacentral:rRNA from 1 species
AUGCUUCUGCCACUGCGGAUGAGGGAUCACAAGAUGACCGUUAAGAUGGAGUACGACGAGUGGUACGCACCGUUCUACAGGAGAGCCCGACUAUUGGGUUUCGUCCUGCAGUUCAAGCCUAAGCUGUUGACGCUCGUCCAUUCAGCUCUCAUGGCUUUGAUCGACCGGUGGCGGCCAGAGACGCACAACUUCCAUCUUCCAUGUGGGGAGAUGACCGUUACCCUCCAAGAUUGGGGGAUGAUUACAGCCCUACCGCUCGAGGGUCGUGCUCUCACAGGACGAGUGGAGAGGACGAACUGGCACGAUAGGGUUGUCACCCUCAUCGGCGACUGCCCCCCCCCCCCGCACGCACGCUAA